CCUACGGGUGGCAGCAGUGAGGAAUAUUGGUCAAUGGCCGGAAGGCUGAACCAGCCAUGCCGCGUGAAGGUCAGUGCCCUAUGGGCGUUAAACUUCUUUUGUGCGGGAGCAAUAAUGGUCACGUGUGGCCAGACGAGAGUACCGUACGAAUAAGCAUCGGCUAACUCCGUGCCAGCAGCCGCGGUAAUACGGGGGAUGCAAGCGUUAUCCGGAUUUAUUGGGUUUAAAGGGUGCGUAGGCUGUGAGGUAAGUCAGCGGUGAAAUGCCCCCGCUCAACGGGGUGAAGUGCCAUUGAUACUGCCUUGCUGGAAUGCGGAUGCCGUGGGAGGAAUGUGUGGUGUAGCGGUGAAAUGCAUAGAUAUCGAGAGGAACACUCGUGGCGAAGGCGGGUUCCUGGACAUUAACUGACGCUGAGGCACGAAGGCCAGGGGAGCGAAAGGGAUUAGAUACCCGUGUAGUC
rnacentral:rRNA from 1 species